UACGGAGGGUGCGAGCGUUGUCCGGAAUCAUUGGGCGUAAAGGGCGCGUAGGUGGCCACUUCAAGCGUGCGGUGAAAGUCGGGGGCUCAACCCCUGAUCGGCCGUGCGAACUGGGGGGCUGGAGCACUGUAGAGGCAGGCGGAAUUCCGGGUGUAGCGGUGAAAUGCGUAGAGAUCGGAAGGAACACCAGUGGCGAAGGCGACUGUCUGGACAGAUACUGACGCUGAGGCGCGAAAGCGUGGGGAGCAAACAGG
rnacentral:rRNA from 1 species